rnacentral:rRNA from 1 species
UACGUAGGGCGCAAGCGUUGUCCGGAUUUAUUGGGCGUAAAGAGCUCGUAGGCGGUCUGUCGCGUCGGAUGUGAAAACCCGGAACUCAACUCCGGGCCUGCAUUCGAUACGGGCAGACUUGAGUACUGCAGGGGAGACUGGAAUUCCUGGUGUAGCGGUGGAAUGCGCAGAUAUCAGGAGGAACACUGGUGGCGAAGGCAGGUCUCUGGGCAGAAACUGACGCUGAGGAGCGAAAGCGUGGGGAGCGAACAGG